AGGGGGCGGGUGGCGGGGUGCCUUGCCUAAGGCCACACAGCUAAUUCAUGAAAAAGCAAGAGGAAGAACCAAUCUCCCACUCUCCAUCCCCCUCCCAGACUUGGAGUAGAGCUCCCUGGUCCAGCUUCAGGGAAAGUGGUGUGGGCUGCUUCCCUCUUCUGAGCCUCCUCACUUGGUUUCCAGCAUCCAUUGUCCUUACAGCCAUCUGGGGUGGUGCUGGCUUUCUUUCCUCUGGAACAGUGGUUCUCAGCCUUGGCUGUCCAUUAAAAUCACCCAAGGAGCUUUGAAACUCUCUGCAUAGGCCAGGUGCCGUGGCUCACACCUGUAAUCCCAGCACUCUGGGAGGCCACAGCAGGAGGAUCGCUUGAGCCCAGGAAUUCAAGACCAGCCUGGGCAAUAUAGCAAGAACCCAUCUUUACUAAAUUUUUUUAAAAAAGAUUAGCUGGACUUGGU
rnacentral:lncRNA from 1 species